rnacentral:lncRNA from 1 species
AGGAUCCUGGUACUAAAUUGAUAGUGACUUUGACAUAUUGCAUAAUCUAAGCUUUUUAGUCCGAAUUACAUUCACUUGAUCUGAACAUGCUCUUUUUCAAUUAGCUUCCUCCUCCACCCCAGCAGGCUUGCUUGGGUGUCUUCUUUGCAGUGCUCCCUUUCGUCCCAGAACCCAUUGGGUGAGGCUCCUUAGUAUUAGGACCUGUGAGAAGGUGUUACACAGUAGGUGACUGCUGGGCUGUGCGUUGGUUCUCACUGAGCCUACUUGGGAAUGGAAACUCCAGUGAAAUUCCUCCACUAUUCAAAAGAGAAUAUUCUUUGCUGCUGCUGCUUUCGAAGGAAAUGUUGGACAGCCUACAUCCUGCAACAUUACUAAUCAGCAGCAGGAUGAAAAGAAUAUUGAAAAAGUUGUAUCAACGAAAAUCACCAAAUCUGGACUACCAAGAAGAGAAACUCCCCCAAAGUAAUCCUUCAUAG